rnacentral:rRNA from 1 species
CUCCAAUAGCGUAUAUUAAAGUUGUUGCAGUUAAAAAGCUCGUAGUUGAACUUUGGGCCCGGUUGGCCGGUCCGAUUUUUUCGUGUACUGGAUUUCCAACGGGGCCUUUCCUUCUGGCUAACCUUGAGUCCUUGUGGCUCUUGGCGAACCAGGACUUUUACUUUGAAAAAAUUAGAGUGUUCAAAGCAGGCGUAUUGCUCGAAUAUAUUAGCAUGGAAUAAUAGAAUAGGACGUUUGGUUCUAUUUUGUUGGUUUCUAGGACCAUCGUAAUGAUUAAUAGGGACGGUCGGGGGCAUCAGUAUUCAAUUGUCAGAGGUGAAAUUCUUGGAUUUAUUGAAGACUAACUACUGCGAAAGCAUUUGCCAAGGACGUUUUCAUUAAUCAAGAACGAAAGUUAGGGGAUCGAAGAUGAUCAGAUACCGUCGUAGUCUUAACCA